UCUACGGGGGGCAGCAGUGGGGAAUAUUGGACAAUGGGCGAAAGCCUGAUCCAGCCAUGCCGCGUGUGUGAAGAAGGCCUUCGGGUUGUAAAGCACUUUCAGUGGGGACGAAAGCCUUGGGGCUAAUACCCUCGAGGAAGGACAUCACCCACAGAAGAAGCACCGGCUAACUCCGUGCCAGCAGCCGCGGUAAUACGGAGGGUGCGAGCGUUAAUCGGAAUUACUGGGCGUAAAGCGCGCGUAGGCGGUCUGAUAAGCCGGUUGUGAAAGCCCCGGGCUCAACCUGGGAACGGCAUCCGGAACUGUCAGGCUAGAGUGCAGGAGAGGAAGGUAGAAUUCCCGGUGUAGCGGUGAAAUGCGUAGAGAUCGGGAGGAAUACCAGUGGCGAAGGCGGCCUUCUGGACUGACACUGACGCUGAGGUGCGAAAGCGUGGGUAGCAAACAGGAUUAGAUACCCGAGUAGUC
rnacentral:rRNA from 1 species